UGAAAUACGGAAAUAUUUUUAUAAACUGUUUUAUAUUUCAUAAUUUGUUUCCUGGUGUUGGAAAACUUCUGUUCUUCUUAUAUUAUUUUUUUAAACUAAACUCUUUAUUUUUUUUAAAGAUUAAAUUUUUUUAAAGAAAACUCUAUGGAAAACCAAUGUGCUGUUUGUAAAAAAGACACUUCCAGCUGUCUGUUUGUAAAACAGACCAUUUAGACUUUUCCAGCAAGUCUAAAUUAAGAAGUCAUGCAAAAAAGUUCCAUUCUGAUUUGGUGAAUGAAAUCCCAAUGAAGGUGGUUAAAGUCGCAGCCACCUGUAACAAGUGCUUGAAAACAUUUUCACAAUAUUCAAACCUUAAGAAGCAUGUAAUAAAAUUCCAUCCUGUGUAAGGUGUAAGUUCUAUCUUAAAAACAUUUGGAGAUAACUUGCAACUCAUAUUAAAAUCAGAAAUACUAAAGCAAAAAUUCUAUUAUUCAUUUGCAUCUAUUAUCCAUAUAGCGGGCUUCCAUUUCUUUAUUUUUCCACCAUGUAUAUUGAAACUUGGUAGGAGGCAAAAAUCAAGAGGAUUUUCAUAUUGAAAAAGAAAAACUUAAAAUAAAUGUCUUACAGCUAAUAGAAAAAGUAACAAAUAAUGAUCAAUUGGAAGCUUUUAAAAAGAUUAUAGCCCCUUUGGAACCAACUAUGGCAGCGCUACAGGAAAAAAAUUAACCCACACUGCCCGCUUCCCACAAAAAGAAUAUUCCCACACAAUAAAAUUAUAGAUAAACAAAAAAUGAUUUUUUUCAACAAAGGAAAAAAACCAAAAAAAAGCCAACUUAAAAUAAACCAAAUGCACAAGAGGCAGAUGUUACUGCUAUGCAACUUUUAAAUAUAUAGAUUAAUAAAAUAUAUUUUAUUCAAUGUCAUAAUAAUAUAGUUUAUAAUUAUAUGUUAUAAUUAAUAAAAACAAAAAGUGUUAUUAAUUAA